CAGUCGCCGCGGUAAUACGGAGGGGGCUAGCGUUAUUCGGAAUUACUGGGCGUAAAGCGCACGUAGGCGGCUUCGCAAGUCAGAGGUGAAAGCCUGGGCUCAACUCCAGAAUUGCCUUUGAGACUGCGUCGCUCGAAUCCGGGAGAGGUGAGUGGAAUUCCGAGUGUAGAGGAGAAAUUCGUAGAUAUUCGGAAGAACACCAGUGGCGAAGGCGGCUCACUGGACCGGCAUUGACGCUGAGGUGCGAAAGCGUGGGGAGCAAACAGGAUUAGAUACCCCCGUAGUCCCUGUCUCUUAUACA
rnacentral:rRNA from 1 species